GACACAUUGGAGCAAAAUGCUUGUUAAGAUUCUUUUCUCCUCUAGACCCUGCAACCAGCAAACAAUCCCUCCUUAUAGGUCUCUCUCAAGAAAAGACUGACCUUAGGAUACAGCAUUUCCUGAUCGGCUGUAUAAUGAUUUCACCUUUGCUCAUCCUAUUCCCCGACACCAGGUUCUCUCAGGCCUUGGUUAUUCCCUUUCACAAAAGAAAAGCCCUUCUUUACCCAACAUUUAAGAGGCUUGCAGAGUCUCCCUGUUUCAACAGUCAUCUGCUCUGUCUCCCUCCCACUAUUGCAAUAAUCCGUUCCUUCCCUCUUGCGAUAAAAUCUCUCUUUACAUAAAUUGAAUUGUUUUUCAUUUGACGAGAGAAAAGUGAAAACUAAAAAGGGAAGUCACGUGGGAACACAAAGCAAUUACUGAAGAUAUUAAGCUUCCUCAUUUUCUCUUGGCACCACCAUGUAAGAAGUUUCUUUCACCUGCUGCCGUGAUGCUGAGGCCUCCCCAGCCACGAGGAACUACUCUUUUUGCCAUUGCAAACUGAAGACAAGAAUCACUUCCUGAUCACUGGGUUGUUGUAAGAUUUGUCUUCCCUGCAAAAUGCCUUGGGAACAGUCUUCAUGUUAUCAUUUGCAAAAUGCUGACUCACAGGAGAUAUUGAAUAUGUGUUUGUUGACUGGCUACGAAAUGGAAAUGUAUUGUUUUCUCUAUUAUGAAGAGAAAGUGAGGCAGAGCAAGCAGUUGGAGGAGAACGAUAUUUAACUGAGAAAGAAAUAUGUCCACAAGGAAGUGAUCAACAAUCCUACAUGCUGCAAAGUGAUUAAGGAGAAUAAAGAUCAAGAGGAUGUAGAAGCCUGAUUAUAACUGGAAAGAAAGUUAAUACAUCCUGAGGACAGCAGUAGGUGUAAACAACAAAUUCAUACAUUUUGUAGAAAAUAGAGGUGAAAAACUGGUUACAGAAACUCAGUGCACAGCAAGGGCAAAUAAGCUUGUUUGCAAGCUAGAAGUCUUCUGUUGAUGCCAAAGAAAGAAAAUAGUAUAUUAUGUAGCAGGAAUGGACAGAGAAAGAACCUGUGAAAUUUAUUUUUAUGGAAAUUCACUUAAGUGUUUUUGUACUUUUAUUGUAUAUUCUAAGCAAAAUAAUAUUUUCCUAAUUGACUCAAUAAUUUUAUAAAAAUUGGCAUCAUAUAUGGCUAAAGAACAAUUAAAAUGCAUUCAUAAAU
rnacentral:lncRNA from 10 species